AUUGAACGCUGGCGGCAUGGCUAAAACAUGCAAGUCGAACGUGUGUAGCAAUACAGAGUAAAGUGGCGUACGGGUGAGUAACACGUGGGUAAUCUACCUUAGAGUCUAGAAUAACCGGCCGAAAGGCUGGCUAAUACUAGAUAGUUCAAGCGCACUGUAGAGGUGUGAUUGGGAAAGGGAGCUCGCAAGAGCCUUUGCUUUAAGAUGAGCCCGCGUCUGAUUAGCUAGUUGGUAAGGUAAUGGCUUACCAAGGCGAUGAUCAGUAGCUGGUCUGAGAGGAUGAUCAGCCACACUGGAACUGAAGCACGGUCCAGACUCCUACGGAGGCAGCAGUGGGGAAUCUUGCGCAAUGGACGAAAGUACUGACGCAGCC
rnacentral:rRNA from 1 species